rnacentral:rRNA from 1 species
CCUACGGGAGGCUGCAGUCGAGAAUCAUUCACAAUGGGGGAAACCCUGAUGGUGCGACGCCGCGUGGGGGAAUGAAGGUCUUCGGAUUGUAAACCCCUGUCAUGUGGGAGCAAAUUAAAAAGAUAGUACCACAAGAGGAAGAGACGGCUAACUCUGUGCCAGCAGCCGCGGUAAGACAGAGGUCUCAAGCGUUGUUCGGAUUCACUGGGCGUAAAGCGUGCGUAGGCUGUUUCGUAAGUCGUGUGUGAAAGGCGCGGGCUCAACCCGCGGACGGCACAUGAUACUGCGAGACUAGAGUAAUGGAGGGGGAACCGGAAUUCUCGGUGUAGCAGUGAAAUGCGUAGAUAUCGAGAGGAACACUCGUGGCGAAGGCGGGUUCCUGGACAUUAACUGACGCUGAGGCACGAAGGCCAGGGGAGCGAAAGGGAUUAGAUACCCGGGUAGUC